GAUGGCUCAGAUUGAACGCUGGCGGCAGGCUUAACACAUGCAAGUCGAACGGUAACAUAAAGAAGCUUGCUUCUUUGAUGACGAGUGGCGGACGGGUGAGUAAUGCUUGGGAAUCUAGCUUAUGGAGGGGGAUAACUACGGGAAACUGUAGCUAAUACCGCGUAAUAUCGAAAGAUUAAAGUGUGGGACCUUCGGGCCACAUGCCAUAAGAUGAGCCCAAGUGGGAUUAGGUAGUUGGUGAGGUAAGGG
rnacentral:rRNA from 1 species